rnacentral:rRNA from 1 species
GACGAACGCUGGCGGCGUGCUUAACACAUGCAAGUCGAACGGAGUGGCGAACGGGUGAGUAACACGUGGGUGACCUGCCCUGCACUUCGGGAUAAGCCUGGGAAACUGGGUCUAAUACCGGAUAGUGUGGGAUGGGCCCGCGGCCUAUCAGCUUGUUGGUGGGGUAAUGGCCUACCAAGGCGGCGACGGGUAGCCGGCCUGAGAGGGGGGACGGCCACAUUGGGAGUGAGACACGGACCAGAGUCGUACAGGAUGCAGAAGUGGGGAAUAGUGCACAAUGGGCGGAAGUCUGAGGCAGGGACGCCGCGUGGGGGAUGACGGCCUUCUGGUUGUAAACUCCUUUCACCAGAGACGCGGUAGAUGGAGAAGAAGCACCGGCUAACUACGUGCCAGCAGCCGCGGUAAUAC